rnacentral:miRNA from 12 species
AGGUCACCCGUUUGACUAUCCAU